AUUGAACGCUGGCGGCAUGCCUUACACAUGCAAGUCGAACGGCAGCACGGGAGCAAUCCUGGUGGCGAGUGGCGAACGGGUGAGUAAUAUAUCGGAACGUGCCCAGUCGUGGGGGAUAACGUAGCGAAAGCUACGCUAAUACCGCAUACGAUCUAUGGAUGAAAGCGGGGGAUCGCAAGACCUCGCGCGAUUGGAGCGGCCGAUAUCAGAUUAGGUAGUUGGUGAGGUAAAGGCUCACCAAGCCGACGAUCUGUAGCUGGUCUGAGAGGACGACCAGCCACACUGGGACUGAGACACGGCCCAGACUCCUACGGGAGGCAGCAGUGGGGAAUUUUUGGACAAUGGGCGCAAGCCUGAUCCAGCAAUGCCGCGUGCAGGAUGAAGGCCUCGGUUGUAACGUAG
rnacentral:rRNA from 1 species